UAAGCGGGCCGCGGCUACACCUGCGAGGCCGGGACAUCCGCGGCUGGGGCUGCGGCGCGCGCAGGCAACACGGGGCUCCCAGGUGCUCAGCCAGGUGCGCCUUGAUAAGGCCGGGCUGGGCUGUGGACUGGCCCUGCAGCGGCACGCCGCGGUCGAGAAGGCGUCCACGUUUUCCUCCUGGAAGUCCUCGUUUAGUGGAGUCAGAGGAGAAAAGAAAGUCACCGUUGUAUGCCCGACGUAGAAGCCACUCAUCCUGGGAGCACCCCGCGUUCUGGAGCUCUAGGAAGCCAGUAACUUAUGUCAGUUGCCUGGGUGUGGAGGGUGACCCCUAAACCUCAGACGCUUGCCUCAGAGUCACCCCGUGGAGCGUGGGGACAGAUCCUCUGCUGCCUUAUCAUGCACUGCAGAGCCUACUUCUUGCUGGAGAAAGACUUCCUGGAGUUGAAGGAGAACAAUUAUCCGGGUAUUGCUGCCUUUCCUGUAAGUGAAGAUCUGUUGGAAUGGGAAGCUGAAAUUGAAGGCCUGCAGAAUACCAUUUGGCACGGAUUACCCUUCCAACUAACGAUAAAUUUUACACCGGAGUACAAUUUUGUCCCUCCAACUGUGAAAUUUAGAACAAUUCCUUUUCAUCCAAAUGUAGACCUAUAUACUGGCCGGCCCUGUAUAGACUUUUUGGACAAUCCUGAUAAGUGGAGUACAAGCUAUACAUUGAGCAGCAUCCUACUUACCCUCCAGGUCAUGCUCUCUAACCCAGUGCUAGAAAACCCAGUGAAUUUGGAAGCGGCCCAAAUUCUGAUUAAAAAUGAACAUAUGUACAGCCUGAUAGUUCUAAGACUUUUCGGCCAGCCAGUACAAUUGAAAGAUGACAACCCUGAGUUACAUAAAGACCCAGAUAAAUUUAUCAGAUCAAUUAAAGUAGUCUCAUUUGACGAUUACUACAAGACAUGGUCUGGAAUAGCCACGUCAAAGCCCACGGACUAUUACAGAACUCCAUGUAAGAUGACCUGCCUGAUUCUGACGAGAAAACCAAGACCAAGAGAAGAAUGGCAAAGAAAAAGUUUGGCAGAGAACAAAUCAGCACAUGUGGUUGUGGGCAACAGCACAUUAAUGACGGAAGAUGAUCCUCAUAAGGAAAUGUUCAUCUUUGGGGAAGAGAAUUCCUUCAGACCAGUGUGCCCUGGAACCGUGAGUGCAGGCUUCCUGUGUGUGCUUGCUGUCAUCGAAACAGUCCUACCAGCCUGAAGCGUCCUGGGAUGCUCACUUUCACCCUAGGAGACCUUCAUUCUUUGAGCUUUGAGCCAGCAGCACCCCGCCUCCAAGAUGCAUCAGAUGCAAAAAGCAAUGUUGUCUAAGUCUGACGCACUGGCUCUCAGGCUGGACCGCUCCUCUGAACCACCAGCAGAGCCUGUAAAAAUUCCCACCUCAGCCCCAACCCAUCAGGAUCUCUGGGAGCAGGACCAGGCGGGAGUAGUUUGUGAAGCUCCCCAGGUGGUUGCAGUGUGCAGCCGAGGUUAGAAGGGCUCUGGCGGGCAGAGCGUGACGUCCACGGUUAGAGACUCCUCCGCCCUCGACUAGUUUUGCGCCUACAGUUAAGAGAAUUUAGUGUUUGAAGAUCAAAAUUUCAUUGCAAAGUAUUAUAAAUGGAAGAAAAUGGAGCUAAAACAUCCUAAAGAAUGGAGUUUAAAUUGACUUCUGAAACAAAUUUCCUUCAAGCCAAAGUAGAGAAAAGCUUUUGCAUUAGAGCCUUUCCUGCUUUCAGAAUAAAUUAUAGGCAGUAGAAACUCUUUUAUUAAGUGGAAUUUCAAGGAGUACAAGCACAGUUUUUUCUUGAUGGUGCAUUUGAAGUUUCGUUUAAAGAAACCUACUUAGAAGGUUAAUUUUGCUUUGAUGUGACUUCUUUUUUUAUUCCCUUUAACAGAACUGCUUUGUAUGUCUGAUCAUUGAUUGCUUGUGUAAUGCCAGGCGAGCAUCCCACAGAACCCCCAAAUUUAGAAAAAGUUGGACCAUGUCACUUUCAACUAAUCCAGCCUCUUCUACAUCUGGCUGAAAUAGUCGUGAGUUGUUUGAGUGCUAGAACAUUUUCCCAAAUACAUUAUUUUGAAGUUAUAGGUCAAAUUAUCAUGUGCAUGGUUGACCCCAUCAGAAUAAAACUCUCAUACCUUAUGCCAUCUGGUGGUUGAUAAGAAUAUAUUUAGAUCAGAUGAUAUUUGCUUCUUUUAAAUCUUGCAGUUGGUUAGUCAAAAAACACUAUUUAAAUAAAAUUUUUAAAAUUACUACAUUUAUCUGCAUAACUUUAUGGCGACAUAAAUAUUUGAGUAUGCAAAAGUCUAAAGUAUGGUGGAAUCAGCUUCUUUUCAGGUAAUUAUUAAAAGUCUCAUGUUCAUCCAAAUACGUGAGGUAUAAUAAAGUGGUCAAUUCAAUAGUGACUCAAGUAGAAAAGUUUGAGGAUCUAGGCAAGUGAGUCGUUGGUCUAGAUGUGCAUGCAAUAGAAUACCAUUAUGCAUCUCUCUAUUUUUAAUAUUUGAAAAUGGUUUUCUCGCACUGAAAUUUCCUAUUUAAAAUAAACAAACAGAAAAUGCAAAUGGAGAACCUCGCCUCUGCAUAGCGUUAGGGAGAGACCUGUUUCUGCUGCUUCCUACCCCUCCUCCCACUGUUCCUCCCCGCCCCUUAUCAAUCAAGACCUGGUUCUUCAGCCACACCAGUUCUUCUUUCUCCCCAUUGUUUGGGGACAGAAGAUCUCUGCUGCACUUUGUGCCUCCUGCCUGGGAGAUUGCCACAGCAUCUCUGCUGGUGGUCCAGAGUGAGGAUUGGUCUGACUUAAAAGGUGGAAUGCGGAGUGUUCAAGCACAGGGCUGCUGGAGCCAGACUGCCUGCAUGUGAGUCCUGGCUCUGCCCGGCACCUACUCUGUGACGUUGGGCGAGUUGUCUGACAUCUCUGUGCCUCCAUAAGAACCAUACUUACCUCUCAAGGAGAUCGUGAGGAUUAAAUAAUUAGUACAUGUAGAGCACUUCAAAAGGGGUCAUGUGCACAGUGAGUACUCCUAAGGUGUGCUACUAUUCAUGCUUUUUCUGCUGUGGCCUGACGUCAGUUUUCAGAUGGGAAAUCUUUCUUUGGAAGAAAAACAGCUCGGGGAGACACAGGGCAUUGGAGUCGGAUGGAUCCUGAGGGGCUCUUCCCCACGCUGAGCAUGCUCCUUCCUGUUGAAUGGAGACGAUGCUGACCUUCAGAGUUGUUCUGCAUCUGAUCUCUUGAAUGAGCUCAGACAUAUAAAACCAUGUAGUGUUGACAUGUGGGCAUUCG